AGUUUUGAACAAGAGAAUAUGAUUUGGGAAAAUUUUCACCGUGGAAUGACGAAACUACAUGUUAAGGCAGUUAAAAAACAUGAUAAAUGUGCAAAAUUUGAAGGUUUCUUAUCUGAUCCCAUUCUUUUUCGUGAGCUUGCGCGGGAUACUGAGAAUGGUCAAAGUGAAAGUUGCACUGAAAUUUUUGAAGACAUGGUUCUUUAAAUCCUAGGUAUGGAAAUGGGCAACUUGGUGCCAAAAAAAUCUGUACUGAUUUGGGAAAUGCUUUUCAGUUUUCUAUAUAGAGAAGAUUAUUGGGCUUUUGUGUCUCUUUUAAAUGGCAAUGAAAAUUCACUUAAAGGAAUCCUGAAACCUUUCAUAGUUUCUUUAGCUCUCCUCUCGAUUAUGAGAGAUCAUUCUAUCACAAAUAAAUUUGAUGGAGCUGGUUCAGGUCAAUUUGUUAUCGAGACAGACACUGAGAUUUGCAAAUCUCAAUUUGACUCACUCCUUUGUUCUCAUAGGUUCCCAAUCUGGGCCUUCACCUUCAAACAAGUGUGCUGAAGUUGCAGAUGGUACAAGGAGAAGAAGAAGAAAUUGUUGGCAUAUUGCCAAUGGCACUUUCCUUGAUCAGCCCAAGAUAUGAAUUGCAGAUUUUGUUUCGCAUGGAGAUACUCCAAUCAGAGGUUGGAGCAAGUUUUGGGGAGUCCACAAAACAAAUGUUUGUGAAGUAAAUUUGCUUGCUUUUAGAGGGCAUUCAGUGCCAUCUGCAGGGAGGCUUUUUAGGUGAUUGGAGGCUUGAUAAAUAUGUGGGAAAGGUCAUAAAAAAACAGUCUUGGCCAUUUGGUUCAGAGAAUUUAUGCAAAAAUGGAUAUGCUAUUGUUUGAGGAUGAGGAUGAGGAUGAAUCCUCAAAUUCUUUAUUGAAUAGCGAGGACAGUAAAAAAUCGUGGAAAGGAAUUUACGAGGGAGAUGAAUGGAUGGAAACCGUAGAAACAAUGAUCUAGUCUCUGCGGAAGAUGAGACCUUCCAAUUGGUGGGAAAUGAGCAUCAAAGCCCCCAAGGAAUGAACCGGGAGGAGCAUGCUUGUAAUUUAAUUGAAGCUUAGGAACAAAGACAAAGGGCUUGUUGAUUUGCAUCUUUCACUAGCUGGGUCCAGACUUGGAAAGAGUUUCGGCACCAAAGCGUCCAAGGGCAAUGAAAAUGAAGUCAGGUCCUCUUCAGAAGCUGUCAAAAAGAAAGGAGCAAAGAAGGGUAAGCUAUGUCACAGUAUGCGAGACCCCAAUGACAGCAAAGAAACGUUCAUGCUGGGGAGGCAGCAGUGGCAAGGAACAUGGUUGUUAGUCAGCUCUUAACCAUCUAAACAAACAUGCGUAGGGUGCUGAGUUUUGGUGUAAAUAUAUUAUAGUAUAUUUUAUUGAAAAAUUAUCUUAAAUAAAAUUAUUAUAUACAAA